GACUAUACAUGCAAGUCGAACGAACUCUGGUAUUGAUUGGUGCUUGCAUCAUGAUUUACAUUUGAGUGAGUGGCGAACUGGUGAGUAACACGUGGGAAACCUGCCCAGAAGCGGGGGAUAACACCUGGAAACAGAUGCUAAUACCGCAUAACAACUUGGACCGCAUGGUCCGAGCUUGAAAGAUGGCUUCGGCUAUCACUUUUGGAUGGUCCCGCGGCGUAUUAGCUAGAUGGUGGGGUAACGGCUCACCAUGGCAAUGAUACGUAGCCGACCUGAGAGGGUAAUCGGCCACAUUGGGACUGAGACACGGCCCAAACUCCUACGGGAGGCAGCAGUAGGGAAUCUUCCACAAUGGACGAAAGUCUGAUGGAGCAACGCCGCGUGAGUGAAGAAGGGUUUCGGCUCGUAAAACUCUGUUGUUAAAGAAGAACAUAUCUGAGAGUAACUGUUCAGGUAUUGACGGUAUUUAACCAGAAAGCCACGGCUAACUACGUGCCAGCAGCCGCGGUAAUACGUAGGUGGCAAGCGUUGUCCGGAUUUAUUGGGCGUAAAGCGAGCGCAGGCGGUUUUUUAAGUCUGAUGUGAAAGCCUUCGGCUCAACCGAAGAAGUGCAUCGGAAACUGGGAAACUUGAGUGCAGAAGAGGACAGUGGAACUCCAUGUGUAGCGGUGAAAUGCGUAGAUAUAUGGAAGAACACCAGUGGCGAAGGCGGCUGUCUGGUCUGUAACUGACGCUGAGGCUCGAAAGUAUGGGUAGCAAACAGGAUUAGAUACCCUGGUAGUCCAUACCGUAAACGAUGAAUGCUAAGUGUUGGAGGGUUUCCGCCCUUCAGUGCUGCAGCUAACGCAUUAAGCAUUCCGCCUGGGGAGUACGGCCGCAAGGCUGAAACUCAAAGGAAUUGACGGGGGCCCGCACAAGCGGUGGAGCAUGUGGUUUAAUUCGAAGCUACGCGAAGAACCUUACCAGGUCUUGACAUACUAUGCAAAUCUAAGAGAUUAGACGUUCCCUUCGGGGACAUGGAUACAGGUGGUGCAUGGUUGUCGUCAGCUCGUGUCGUGAGAUGUUGGGUUAAGUCCCGCAACGAGCGCAACCCUUAUUAUCAGUUGCCAGCAUUAAGUUGGGCACUCUGGUGAGACUGCCGGUGACAAACCGGAGGAAGGUGGGGAUGACGUCAAAUCAUCAUGCCCCUUAUGACCUGGGCUACACACGUGCUACAAUGGAUGGUACAACGAGUUGCGAACUCGCGAGAGUAAGCUAAUCUCUUAAAGCCAUUCUCAGUUCGGAUUGUAGGCUGCAACUCGCCUACAUGAAGUCGGAAUCGCUAGUAAUCGCGGAUCAGCAUGCCGCGGUGAAUACGUUCCCGGGCCUUGUACACACCGCCCGUCACACCAUGAGAGUUUGUAACACCCAAAGUCGGUGGGGUAACCUUUUAGGAACCAGCCGCCUAAGGUGA
rnacentral:rRNA from 2 species